CGGGGACAAAGCAGGCUCCCCGCCAGACGGCCUCCGUCCAAGCUCUGC
rnacentral:ncRNA from 1 species